UCAUAAGGAUCGGCCGACUAUAUCAUAUAGCUGCCAUAUAACUGAACGAUCGGAAUUGGCAUAACUUUGCUGUUUUUUAAGCCAGAAUGAUGGGACUUUCUACGGAUUCCAUUUUGGGCAACCGAAUCAGAUCUGCCAAACAUCAUAAGGAUCGGCCAACUUUACGCUAUAGCUCCCAUAUAAAUGAACGAUCAGAUAUGGAACAACCUUAACUGCAAGGGUAUAUCAACUUCGGCUCCGCCCGAAGUUAGCUUUCCUUUCUUGUUUAUGAAAUGUUUUUAUCAUUUAUUACUAUUAUUAAAUAAUUAAACAAACCCGUUUUUACAUUGUUCGUCUAUUUAUUGCUUAUGUGGCUCAUCCCGUGUGGCCUGCUCAAGAAAUCGAUUUUUAUACCUUUGCCGAGGGUAUUAUAAUUUUGGUCAAAAGUGUGCAACGCAGUGAUUUUUAGAAGUAUUUUUUAGAAGGAUACUCGCAACAAUUGUCUAUAUUUGCAAAGAAAGGAUAUAGAAUUAUUGCGAUUGCGUUCAAGGAUCUUGACCCAAAAGUUAACUACACAAAAAUUCAGCGGUUUUCCCGUGAAGAUGUGGAAAAUUAUCUUGAAUUUCUUGGUUUCGUUAUACUGGAGAAUCGUUUAAAGCCAGACACAACUGAAGUAAUUAAUACAUUAAAUGCGGCGAAGAUUCGAACUAUAAUGAUUCGAACUAUAAUGAUUCGAACUGGUGACAACAGCUAUCACGACAACAGUGUUGCUCGUGAUUGUGGCAUAGUUAACUCAUCUCAAGCAGUGAUUACUAUCCAUGCAGAUCCGGUUAACAGAUCUGAACACAAUUCUGAUGAUAGUAACCGUCAUAAUAUUAAAAUGAGUAGCGACCAGAAUAGAAAAUACCAGUUACAAUACACAUUAGAUACGGGCAGUAAUAUUUGUGCUUCACAUCAAUUAUCUAAUAAUGGUAAUUUUUUUUAACAAGAAAGCACUGCAAGUAACUGCAGCGCCGAGAGUACGAUGAAUCUUCCCCGAAUAACGUCAAGAAAUUCCUUCGAAAAUAAAUCUUAUAAAAAUUAUAAUGAAAGCGUUGUACGUUUAAGUAAUAGUUCGGCAAGUGUAGAGACCAUAGAUACGUGGACUCACAAUGAUACAACAGAUGUUCACGUAGAACUUGAAACGAACAUUAUGCAAGAAAGUAAAUGGCAGCAACAAUAUACAUUUGCAAUGGAUGGAAACACCUGGCAAAUUGUAAAAGAUCAUUUCCCCGAGCAACUUGGAAUUAUAUUAACACGCGGAUCAAGUUAUGCACGUAGGUCCCCUGAGCAGAAACAAGCUUUAGUUAUGGAACUCCAAAACGUUGACUACUGUGUAGCUAUGUGUGGCGACGGGGCUAAUGAUUGCGGCGCUCUAAAGGCUGCGCAUGCUGGUAUUUCGCUUAGCGAAACUGAAUCCUCUAUUGCAUCCCCAUUUACUUCCCAUAAUUCUACGAUUUCAGCGGUUAUAAAUGUUAUUAAAGAAGGCCGAGCUGCAUUGGUAACAUCUUUUGGUAUUUUUAAGUACAUGGCCGCCUAUUCGCUUGUCCAGUUCAUAUCUGUAAUGAUAUUGUAUUCAAUCGACUCUAACUUGGCAGAUAAACAGUAUCUCUAUGUUGACCUUGGGCUAAUUUCGAUAUUUGCCUUUUUUUUUGGAAAAACGGAAUCUUUUUUGAUGGAAAAUUAGUAAAGCAAGUGCCGCUUAGCUCUUUAAUUUCUACGACACCCCUGGCCUCGCUUUUACUUCACCUUGCUGCCGUCACAAUUUUUCAGGUGACAGGUUGGUUUCACCUACAACAACAACCACGGUUCACACCUUUUCAACAAACUGAUGAGGAAAAUUUAGGUUGUUAUGAAAAUAUACAAUGUUUUGCAUAUCUAGUUUUCAGUACAUAAUUCUGGCGUUUGUUUUUUCCAAAGGUGCGCCUUACAGAAAACCCUUGUGGUCAAACUUUUCGCUGUGCUUAUCAUUUAUUGUUAAUCUUAUUAUCAUAGUUUAUUUGGCAAUUUAUCCCAGCGAAUGGGUAUUAAAUUUUUUUCAAUUCAUAGUACCUCCAGCAAUGAAAUUUCGAUAAUUAUAGUUAUUCCAGGUUUUUGAAUCGUCGCUUAGAUAAUUUAAAGUAUACAAUUUUAUUAUACUCUAUAUAUAAAUUGCUGCGAAUGAAAUGUGUGUAUAUUAUAUAAAUUUUAUUGUAUAAAAAAGCGCACUAGCGCAAAAGCGAACUUUCAAUGCACAUAAAUUAUUCUUGCUAGCAGUAAAAUACAAUUAGUUGUACUUAAGUCAUGGUGAUAUGAUGUACAAAAGUUGUGUUUUUUGGUUAUAAAUAAAAUAAUAUAAAUGGAAUGAUUAAAUAGAUUAAAGGUAA